rnacentral:rRNA from 1 species
CUGCCCAAUGAGGAAUUCAAUGGCCGCGGUACUUUGACCGUGCAAAGGUAGCAUAAUCAUUAGUUUUUUAAUUGAAAGCUGGUAUGAAAGGUUGGAUGAGAAAAUAGCUGUCUCUAUUUAAAUUAUUUAGAAUUUUAUCUUUAAGUAAGAAAGCUUAUAUUUUAAUUGAAGACGAGAAGACCCUAUAGAGUUUUAUAAAUUUUAGUUUAAGGAAACUUAAGAAUUAACAAAUUUUUAAAUUAAAAUCUAUUUAGUUGGGGCGAUUGAAAAAUUUAAUAAACUUUUUUUAUUAAUUUAAACAUUAAUUUAUGAUUAGAUGAUCCUUAUUUAAAGAUUAAAAGAAAAAAUUACCUUAGGGAUAACAGCGUAAUUUUUUUAAAGAGUUCAAAUCGAAAAAAAAGAUUGCGACCUCGAUGUUGGAUUAAAAUAAAAUUUUGGUGUAGGAGCUAAAUAAUUUGGGUCUGUUCGACCCUUAAAAUUUUACAUGAUCUGAGUUUAAACCGGUGU